AACGCGAAGAACCUUACCAGCGUUUGACCAUGUCCGGACGAUUUCCAGAGAUGGAUACUACUUCCCUUCGGGGACUGGAACACAGGUGCUGCAUGGCUGUCGUCAGCUCGUGUCGUGAGAUGUUGGGUUAAGUCCCGCAACGAGCGCAACCCUCGCCUUUAGUUACCAUCAUUUAGUUGGGUACUCUAAAGGAACCGCCGGUGAUAAGCCGGAGGAAGGUGGGGAUGACGUCAAGUCCUCAUGGCCCUUACGCGCUGGGCUACACACGUGCUACAAUGGCGACUACAGUGGGCAGCAAUCUCGCGAGGGUGAGCUAAUCUCCAAAAGUCGUCUCAGUUCGGAUUGCACUCUGCAACUCGAGUGCAUGAAGGCAGAAUCGCUAGUAAUCGCAGAUCAUCAUGCCG
rnacentral:rRNA from 1 species